GACGAACGCUGGCGGCGUGCUUAAUACAUGCAAGUCGAACGGAAAGGCCCUGCUUUUGUGGGGUGCUCGAGUGGCGAACGGGUGUGUAACACGUGAGUAACCUGCCCUUGACUUUGGGAUAACUCCAGGAAACUGGGGCUAAUACCGCAUAGGAGCUCCUGCUGCAUGGUGGUGGUUGGAAAGUUUCGGCGGUUGGGGAUGGACUCGCGGCUUAUCAGCUUGUUGGGGGGGUAGUGGCUUACCAAGCCUUUGACGGGUAGUCGGCCUGAGAGGGUGACCGGCCUCAUUGGGACUGCGAGAGGGACCAGAAGCCUACGGGAGGCAGCAGUGGGGAAUAUUGCGGAAUGGGCGGAAGCCUGAUGCAGCAACGCCGCGUGCGGGAUAACGGCCUACGGGUUGUAAACCGCUUUCGCCUGUAACGAAGCGUGAGUGACGGUAAUGAGUAAGAAAGCAACGGCUAACUACGUG
rnacentral:rRNA from 1 species